rnacentral:snoRNA from 1 species
UGAGUUCAGUUCAGGGCAGCUUCCCUGUUCUGUUAAUUAAACUUUGGGACAUUGAAAGUUGUUGAAGAAAAAAUAAUUGAAUAGAGAGUAUUAUUCUAUUCAUAUACUUCCUAGCCUACACCA